GAUGAACGCUGGCGGCGUGCCUAAUACAUGCAAGUCGAGCGAACAGAUGAGGAGCUUGCUCCUCUGACGUUGGCGGCGGACGGGUGAGUAACACGUGGAUAACCUACCUAUAAGACUGGGAUAACUUCGGGAAACCGGAGCUAAUACCGGAUAAUAUAUUGAACCGCAUGGUUCAAUAGUGAAAGACGGUUUUGCUGUCACUUAUAGAUGGAUCCGCGCCGCAUUAGCUAGUUGGUAAGGUAACGGCUUACCAAGGCAACGAUGCGUAGCCGACCUGAGAGGGUGAUCGGCCACACUGGAACUGAGACACGGUCCAGACUCAUACGGGAGGCAGCAGUAGGGAAUCUUCCGCAAUGGGCGAAAGCCUGACGGAGCAACGCCGCGUGAGUGAUGAAGGUCUUCGGAUCGUAAAACUCUGUUAUUAGGGAAGAACAAAUGUGUAAGUAACUAUGCACGUCUUGACGGUACCUAAUCAGAAAGCCACGGCUAACUACGUG
rnacentral:rRNA from 1 species